GACAGAGGGUGCAAACGUUUGUUCGGAAUUACUGGGCGUAAAGCGUGUGUAGGCGGCUUUGCAAGUCGGAUGUGAAAGCCCCGGGCUCAACCCGGGAAGUGCACUCGAUACUGCGAAGCUUGAGUGUCGGAGAGGUUGGUGGAAUUCUCGGUGUAGAGGUGAAAUUCGUAGAUAUCGAGAGGAACACCGGUGGCGAAGGCGGCCAACUGGACGAACACUGACGCUGAGACACGAAAGCGUGGGGAGCAAACAGG
rnacentral:rRNA from 1 species